GCCUCUUUAGCUCAGCGGUAGAGCAACGGUUUCGUAAACCGUAGGUCGUGGGUUCAAAUCCCAUGAGAGGCUCAA
rnacentral:tRNA from 1 species